UGAAUACGAGAUGCUACGGCGUCGAAGCAGUGUAUGCCAGACUUCCAAGAAAAGCUCGCAAUGUCAUAAAUAAAGAAUGCCUGUACCAUAACCGACACAGGUGGGUAGGUAGAGUAUACUAAGGGGCGCGAGAUAACUCUCUCUAAGGAACUCGGCAAAAUAACUCCGUAACUUCGGGAGAAGGAGUGCCUUCUUUAAGAAGGUUGCAAUAACAAGAUCCAAGCAACUGUUUAUCAAAAACACAGGUCUCCGCUAAGUCGUAAGACGAUGUAUGGGGGCUGACGCCUGCCCAGUGCCAGAAGGUUAAAGAAGUUGGUUAGCUUUUGCGAAGCUGAUGACUGAAGCCCUGGUGAACGGCGGCCGUAACAAUAACGGUCCUAAGGUAGCGAAAUUCCUUGUCGGGUAAGUUCCGACCCGCACGAAAGGCGUAAUGAUUUGGAUACUGUCUCGGAGAGGGACUCGGUGAAAUAGACUUGUCUGUGAAGAUGCGGACUACCUGCACCAGGACAGAAAGACCCUAUGAAGCUUUACUGUAACUUGAAAUUGAAAUUGGACUUUAUUUGCGCAGUAUAGGUGGAAGGCGUUGAAAGUAAUCUUGCGGGAUUAGUGGAGCCAUCAGUGAGAUACCACUCCUAUAAUGUUAGAUUUCUAACUUUGGAUCAUGAUCUGGUCAAAGAACAGUUUCAGGCGGGCAGUUUGACUGGGGCGGUCGCCUCCCAAAUGGUAACGGAGGCGUACAAAGGUUUCCUCUGAACGGGUAGAAAUCGUAUCUAGAGUGUAAAGGCAUAAGGAAGCUUGACUGUGAGACCUACAAGUCGAGCAGGGACGAAAGUCGGUCUUAGUGAUCUGACGGUGCUGAGUGGAAAGGCCGUCACUCAACGGAUAAAAGUUACUCUAGGGAUAACAGGCUGAUCUCCCCCAAGAGUUCACAUCGACGGGGAGGUUUGGCACCUUGAUGUCGGCUCAUCGCAUCCUGGGGCGGUAGUACGUCCCAAGGGUUGGGCUGUUCGCCCAUGAAAGCGGUACGCGAGCUGGGUUCAGAACUUCGUGAGACAGUUCGGUCCAUAUCCGGUGUAGGCGUUAGAAUAUUGAGAGGAGCCUUCUUUAGUACGAGAGGACCGAGAAGGACAUACCUCUGGUGUACCAGUUAUCGUGCCAACGGUAAACGCUGGGUAGCUAUGUAUGGAGAGGAUAACCGCUGAAAGCAUCUAAGUUGGAAGCCCACCUCAAGAUGAG
rnacentral:rRNA from 1 species